GACUCUUAACCACUAAUUAACACCCUCUCUCAGCUAAUCACCUCCUUGAUCCUUCCCUUGGCCUCUCUGCAUGCAUGGCUCCCCCUCUCUCCUUCCUUUCCACACUUACUACUCCGUGGUAGUAGAUUCAGUAGUGGAUCGUACCAUACGAAUCGUGAAUUAUAAGUGAAUCGGUGAUCCGAAUUGGUGAAUCGCUGAAUCGAACGAUUUGCUGAGUUCAAUUUUUACUCAUUUUCGCUUUUUUUGUUGUUGGAAAAGGGUCGAAACAAUUUUUUUAAGGCCUUUAGCAUUGUUAUAUGCCAUCUUUUGUCUGUGUUUCUCUUUGUGUAUCAUAGGUAAUAAGAAAGGGAGAUUUAUCAAGAAAGUGAAUCGAAAAUGACAGAAAAAAUGGAAUACAAGUAUACAACCACCUAUAGACCUUUUAACGGUUCUUUUUUUUUUUUUUUUGUACUUUUAACUUGUCUUCACAAAAAAGACCAUAUGUAGAAUUCACGAAUCUUGAUCUCUUGGAAGUUGCAAUAGAAGCAGCGUACCGCUUAAUUCACAUUAUUAUCAAAUCAUCAUUUAGAAUAAGCUGUUUUAUGGAUUUAGGUCUAAAACUUUCAUUUGUAGUAUAUAUUUUUGUUAUUGUAGUUAAACAUAUGUUUCCAUGCAUUAUAGAAGUCCUGACCGAAUCAGAGCAAUUCCUGAUUCGAUUCGAUGCAUGAUUCGGAAAAGGACCAUUUCGAUUCUCGAUUUGAUUCACGAUUUGACCACCUUGCCACUGAGUAGUACACAGCAGCCCUCUUGCUCCCCUUCCCCUUAAACCCCCCAAAUAAUCCCAUGACCUGGUUGUUAUAUAUGUGUGUACUUACAAAUGUAUGUGAAUCAGAAAAAACCAGAAAGAAACUGAGAUCGGGCGUUGGCAUUCUGACUUGGGAACUGUAUUUUAAUGUUGAUGCCCCAAAUGGGUUAAUGCAGUAAUGGGUGGUCCAAGAUCAGUGUUUCAGAGAUGGUGAGGUGUAGGGUGGCAGUGGCGACCUGCUAGGGAGGGAGGUGAGAGAUACGAUCUGUGAGUGGCCAGAGUUAAAUUGCGUUAGGUCGAUAGAAGUGGUGGCAGUGGCGUCGGCACUGCUUUGGAUAGAAAUGAGAAGGGUGAAGAGAGAGGAAGGCAAAGUUUGGAGGGAGAAUGUCGGUAAGGAAAAAAGUUGAUGGGGUGUUAAAGUUUAGCUAUCAUAGCUGUUACUCAUUGUGCCUAUAAACCAUUUAGUCACAAAUCUCCUGUUAUUCAUUUAAUCUCAUUUAUUACAUGGACAAAGAAAAACUAACGUAAUUGUAAAAUAGACAUUUGAUAAUUCUGUAUUGUGGUGGUAAAAGAGUAAUCUUUUGGGACCCAACAGUUUAAAUGAAGAGUCGUUUUUUUUUGUUGUUGUUGUUGUGUGUGUUUUGUCUAUUUGGGUGUUCCGUUCCUUUAUAACACCCCAUGUAGUUAUCAAUAUAGGCAGACAGAUUGAAGCAAACAAAUUUUAUGUAGUAAUAUCAAGAAAGCAGUAACCUUUCCUUUGGUUGCUUGAGUAUUUUUGCUCUUAAUCAAUUCUCUUACUUGAGCAGAUGUAAAGGAGGAAAACAAUUAAUUAGAAGGUAAGAGCUCCGACCCAAGUUUCUCAAUGGGUUGGUUGGAUUGUGAUCAGUAAGCUUCUGCUUACAGGUGUAGGUAGGAAUAGGUACUUAGGAGUCCGAGAAAAUGUUUCCCAUGCUACAAACAAGUAUUUUUAAACUAAGUCUUGGAAAACAUUGAAGAAUGCCGUGAUAAAUGCUCAAGAGGAAGAUCGGAUGAAGUUCCACUGAAGAUUCUCUCUCUUUAUUUCACUUGUACGAUAUUUGAUUUGGGAAGUUGGCUACUAAAAUUUGUUAAUAUUGGAUAGUACCAAGUAGUAAAUGGCCACUGAUUAUCAUUCUUUCAUUUUGUGUUAUGAACUACUGUAGGGGGGGCUUACUGCUAUGAUUUGAUUCCCUUUACCAAUUCUUUCUGAACCGUGAUAAUCAGAAAUGAAGAACAUGCGCGGUUCAUUCUCAGAUGGUAUUUGUAAUCUUCCUGUUCCUGAUAUUGCAAUUGAAAAGAUCUUAGUACUUAUGCCCCUACGAGAUGCAGUGAGGACAAGUGUUUUGUCAAACAAAUGGAGGUAUAACUGGAUAACUAUUCCGGAACUUGUAUUUGAUGAUACUUCAAUAAUGGAUCCUUCCCUGAUUUUCUCUCACCAACAAUUGCCAUUAGACCAACUCUCAACUAGAAACAGAUUAUUUGCUACUAUAUAUCAUGUUCUAUUACUUCACCAUGGAGCAAAACUUGAGUUCAUUCUUUCUAUAUCUGAACUCAAAAGCUGUCCCGAAAUUGACGCCUUGAUGACUAUUUUGUCAAGCAAUGGUAUCCAUGAACUUGCCCUGAAAAUUUGGAAGAGUGACCCUCAUAAAUUGCCUCCAUCUCUAUUUUUCAACAACUGACACACUCGAAUCUCCAAUCUUGUGUAUUAAAACUACCAACAACCUUUAAGGGGAAUUGAUUUGCCUGGAGCUUCAUGAAGUGAUCAUCACUGCAGACAUGUUUCAAACUUUUAUUUCCGGUUGCUCAGUACUUGAACAACUAACGUUUGAAACUUCCACGUGUUUUGACUUUAUUGGAAUUGAUGCUCCUAUCUUAAGGUCCUAAGCUUCAUUGGGAUUUUCAAAUCUCUUAAGGUCAAGAAUGCACCUCAUCUUGCAAACUUCUCAAUAGAUUCAAAAGCUUCGGUAGGCAUAGUGGAAAGAGGAGGAGAUAAAUUUGGCUGGGCCGUUUUUUCCGAUAGUCUACCUGUUCUUAAGAAUCUACAUAUGGGUGGUCAAUAUCUGAUGGUGAGAUAAGUCUACAGUUUUUAAUUCGUUCAUUCUUGAGGAAAUAGUUUCUUUGAUCUCACUUCUUCCAUUUCAUGAAGUCAUUGGGUGAAGCAGGCUUAGGAAGGAAGCUUCUUACAUCAUGGGGCCUUAAUUUCCUAGUAUAUUAUCUGAUGUUCGCCUUGGGGUACGAGUUGUUUGCUGGACUGUUUUGUGGUUGAUUAAAAUCUCCCCAAAAUUCCAUAAAUUGAUAAUCAAGCCAAUUACAACAGGUAAUGAACAUGAAGCUGUUGUACUGAAUUAUUGUGUAGUGAAUAUGGACAAAGUUCUAUCUGAACCAUCUUCGAGAUGCAUCUUGUAUCUGGUACACCAAUUGAUUUACACUUCAUGAAGCUUCUAAAUCCAUGUAUUGGAGAGCAUGGCUGUCAAGCCAGAUCCGGCUAAGGUUUUUGAUGGAGGACUAAUGAUCUUGAUUUUAGUGCUUGUCCCCCAAGACGAAAAUUGCGUACAAAGAUCCAAAUAAAUGAAACCCAAGUUUAGCUCAUGGAUGAUGCACAUUUUGAAGCUAUGUCGUUGCAACGAGGAUACAUAGAGGUGGUGCAAAAUUUUGUUGGUUUUUGUAAGCCGACUCAUAUUAAAGCAACUAGCCAACUUCUAUGAAUGAUGCAAUUGGUUUU